rnacentral:rRNA from 1 species
ACCACCCUCCAAGGCUAAAUACUACCUAGUGACCGAUAGCGUAUAGUACCGUGAGGGAAAGGUGAAAAGAACCCCGGGAGGGGAGUGAAAUAGAGCCUGAAACCCUGCACUUACAAGCUGUGGAAGCACAUUUCUUGUGUGACCGCGUACUUUUUGUAGAACGGGCCAACGAGUUACGUUAAGUAGCAAGGUUAAGCACUUAAGGUG